rnacentral:rRNA from 1 species
AUGCUACCGGGCGACCGGAUGCGGAUCUCGAAAGCCUGUCCCAGUUCGGACUGGAGUCUGCAACCCGACUCCACGAAGUUGGAUUCGCUAGUAAUCGCGCAUCAGCCAUGGCGCGGUGAAUACGUUCCCGGGCCUUGUACACACCGCCCGUCAAGCCAUGGGAGCCGGGGGCGCCUGAAGUCCGGGACCGCGAGGACCGGCCUAGGGCGAAACUGGUAACUGGGGCUAAGUCGUAACAAGGUAUC